rfam:Enterococcus casseliflavus EC20, complete genome.
UCGUUAAUGGGAAAAAGUCGGUAUCUUUUGCUUCCUUAGAUGCAACCGCUGCACUUAGGACAACCGUAUCGCCAUAACGAACCAAUACAGCUCCGUUUGCUUGCUUGGCUAAUUGGCCAACUUCUACUUCUAAUGGGCGGCCGCCCCAAGUUGUUUUGAAUACUUGUUUUUCUGUCAUGUUUUGCUCCUUUUCAUCGGAUCCCAGCAAGUCACUACUAAACAAAUGAAAAAAUCGGAAUGUCGUUCCGCUGCUUUCAUUUGGUUAGUAGGAUGCUGCUUACAAGGACCCAAAAUUCUUUUUGGCUGCGCUUUUUGAUUCACCAGUCAAAA